CUACUUCAUUGAUUGCAAGUGGUAUGAGUGUGCUAGAAUUGUAGUACAUGCAGAAGAUAUGUUCACUUUUGUGCUGGGGGCUAGUUAUGAAUUAUGAGCAAAAUUUAAACCAAGUAUAUUGACCCACAAAAAAUGCUCAGGAACUUUCUACCUUUUACUCCCAACUGUAUAAUUUGAGGGACAGUAACACAAUCGACUGCAACAGAG